rnacentral:rRNA from 1 species
AAACUCAAAGGAAUUGACGGGGACCCGCACAAGCGGUGGAUGAUGUGGUUUAAUUCGAUGCAACGCGAAAAACCUUACCUACCCUUGACAUGCCAGGAACUUACCAGAGAUGGUUUGGUGCUCGAAAGAGAGCCUGGACACAGGUGCUGCAUGGCUGUCGUCAGCUCGUGUCGUGAGAUGUUGGGUUAAGUCCCGCAACGAGCGCAACCCUUGUCAUUAGUUGCUACGCAAGAGCACUCUAAUGAGACCGCCGGUGACAAACCGGAGGAAGGUGGGGAUGACGUCAAGUCCUCAUGGCCCUUAUGGGUAGGGCUACACACGUCAUACAAUGGGCGGUACAGAGGGUCGCCAACCCGCGAGGGGGAGCCAAUCCCUUAAAACCGCUCGUAGUCCGGAUUGUAGUCUGCAACUCGACUGCAUGAAGUCGGAAUCGCUAGUAAUCGCGGAUCAGCUUGCCGCGGUGAAUACGUUCCCGGGUCUUGUACACACCGCCCGUCACACCAUGGAAGUGGGGUUUACCAGAAGUAGUUAGCUUAACCGCAAGGGGGGCGAUUACCACGGUAGGCUUCAUGACUGGGGU